AUUGAACGCUGGCGGCAGGCCUAACACAUGCAAGUCGAACGAGUGGCGGACGGGUGAGUAAUGUCUGGGAAACUGCCUGAUGGAUGGGGUUCACUACUGGACACGGUAGCUAAUACCGCAUACCAUCAGAUGUGCCCAGGUGGGUUUAGCUGGUGGGUGGGGUAACGGCUCACCUAGGCGACGAUCCCUAGCUGGUCUGAGAGGAUGACCAGCCACACUGGAACUGAGACACGGUCCAGACUCCUACGGGAGGCAGCAGUGGGGAAUAUUGCAAAAUGGGCGCAAGCCUGAUGCAGCCAUGCCGCGUGUGUGAAGAAGGCCUUCGGGUUGUAAAGCACUUUAAGCGGGGAGGCGUUACCCGCAGAAGAAGCACCGGCUAACUCCGUGCCAGCAGCCGCGGUAAUUC
rnacentral:rRNA from 1 species